GUGAGGAAUAUUGGUCAAUGGACGAGAGUCUGAACCAGCCAAGUCGCGUGAAGGAAGACGGUUCUAUGAAUUGUAAACUUCUUUUGUGCAGGAAUAAAGUGGGUUACGUGUAACCUUUUGUAUGUACUGUACGAAUAAGGAUCGGCUAACUCCGUGCCAGCAGCCGCGGUAAUACGGAGGAUCCGAGCGUUAUCCGGAUUUAUUGGGUUUAAAGGGUGCGUAGGUGGAUUGAUAAGUCAGCGGGUAAAGUUUGCAGCUUAACUGUAAAAUUGCCGUUGAAACUGUCGGUCUUGAGUGCAAAUGAGGUAGGCGGAAUGUGUUGUGUAGCGGUGAAAUGCUUAGAUAUAACACAGAACUCCGAUUGCGAAGGCAGCUUACUGGGAUGCAACUGACACUGAUGCACGAAAGCGUGGGUAUCAAACAGGAUUAGAUACCCUAGUAGUCC
rnacentral:rRNA from 1 species